rnacentral:rRNA from 1 species
GAUGAACGCUGGCGGCGUGCUCAACACAUGCAAGUCGAGCGAGAAAAGUUCUUCGGAGCUUUUCUAGCGGCGGACGGGUGAGUAACACGUGGGCAACCUGCCUCAUAGAGGGGAAUAGCCUUCCGAAAGGAAGAUUAAUACCGCAUAACAUUGUUGAAAGGCAUCUUUUAACAAUCAAAGGAGCAAUCUGCUAUGAGAUGGGCCCGCGGCGCAUUAGCUAGUUGGUGAGGUAACGGCUCACCAAGGCGACGAUGCGUAGCCGACCUGUGAGGGUGAUCGGCCACAUUGGAACUGAGACACGGUCCAGACUCCUACGGGUGGCAGCAGUUGGGAAUCUUGCACAAUGGGGGAAACCCUGAUGCAGCGACGCCGCGUGGAGGACGAAGGGUCCAGGCCUGUAAACUCCUUUUACCAGGAAAGACUUAGGACGGUACCUGGUGAAUAAGCCCCGGCUAACUACGUGCCAGCAGCCGCCGUAAUAC